GAACUGCGAUAAGUAAUGUGAAUUGCAGAAUUCAGUGAAUCAUCGAGUCUUUGAACGCACAUUGCGCCCCCUGACAUUCCGGGGGGCAUGCCUGUCCGAGCGUCAUUGCUGCCCUUCAAGCCCGGCUUGUGUGUUGGGUCGUCGUCCCCUCCGGGGGACGGGCCCGAAAGGCAGCGGCGGCACCGCGUCCGGUCCUCGAGCGUAUGGGGCUUUGUCACCCGCUCGAUAAGGACCUGCCGGGCGCCAGCCGGCGUCUCCAACCUUUUUUUCUCAGGUUGACCUCGGAUCAGGUAGGGAUACCCGCUGAACUUAAGC
rnacentral:misc_RNA from 1 species